GCAUAGCUCACUCCCGCAGAGCCUAAAAGAUCGGCAGGAGUGGAUGGUGCAGGUGGACAAUGGGAGAGCCCUUUGGCUUGAGUUCAUGGAGGCAAGACGGAGAAACUGGGGGUUCCAGGAGAUUUCAGUGCCAGGGUUCGGGCAAGCUGGAGGCAGCAUCUGUGGGGCUGGGCCGCCAUGCCAGGGAAUGCACCCUGAGCUGUAUCCACAGAUCAUUGCAAGUGUUUACUCAUGCAAUGUCGUCUUAAGUUUCAGAUCCUUCGAGAACAGACCGGCACAUAAGAGCUCCCAAGUUCACAUGGCUAGACAUUCUUCAACCUUCGGAGGACAGCUCUAG
rnacentral:lncRNA from 1 species